CCCUUAGAUGUCCUGGGCUGCACGCGCGCUACACUGACACGUUCAACGAGUUUUGUCUGCUCCGAUGGGACUGGGUAAUCUUAUGAAAGCGUGUCGUGAUGGGGAUAGAUUAUUGCAAUUAUUAAUCUUCAACGAGGAAUUCCUAGUAAGUACAAGUCAUCAGCUUGUGCUGAUUACGUCCCUGCCCUUUGUACACACCGCCCGUCGCUCCUACCGAUUGGGUGAUCCGGUGAAUAACUCGGACUGCAGCUAUUCGGGAGACCGUUAGCUUGUGGAAAGUUUAGUAAAUCUUAUCACUUAGAGGAAGGAGAAGUCGUAACA
rnacentral:rRNA from 1 species